UACGUAGGGGGCAAGCGUUGUCCGGAAUCAUUGGGCGUAAAGCGCGUGUAGGCGGUCCGUUAAGUCGGUUGUGAAAGUCCAGGGCUCAACCCUGGGAUGCCGAUCGAUACUGCCGGACUAGAGUCCGGAAGAGGCGAGUGGAAUUCCCGGCGUAGCGGUGAAAUGCGCAGAUAUCGGGAGGAACACCAAUGGCGAAGGCAGCUCGCUGGGACGGUACCGACGCUGAGACGCGAAAGCGUGGGGAGCGAACAGG
rnacentral:rRNA from 1 species